GCCGGAGUGGUGGAAUUGGUAGACACAAGGGACUUAAAAUCCCUCGCCAAUUAUAUUGGUGUGCCGGUUCGAGUCCGGCCUCUGGUA
rnacentral:tRNA from 1 species